rnacentral:rRNA from 1 species
GCUAAUACCGGAUAACAAUAGAUGAUGCCUAUCAACUGUUUAAAAGAAUGGUUCUGCUAUCACUCUUGGAUGGACCUGCGGUGCAUUAGCUAGUUGGUAGGGUAACGGCCUACCAAGGCGAUGAUGCAUAGCCGAGUUGAGAGACUGAUCGGCCACAUUGGGACUGAGACACGGCCCAAACUCCUACGGGAGGCAGCAGUA